GUUUUAAUAGUUUAAUAAAAAUAAUGGUCUUGUAAUCCAUAGAUAGAAAUAAAAUCUUUAAUUCA
rnacentral:tRNA from 1 species